ACACGUGAUUCAGAGUUUGAUCCUGGCUCAGAUUGAACGCUGGCGGCAUGCCCUACACAUGCAAGUCGAACGGCAGCACGGGAGCAAUCCUGGUGGCGAGUGGCGAACGGGUGAGUAAUAUAUCGGAACGUGCCCAGUCGUGGGGGAUAACGUAGCGAAAGUUACGCUAAUACCGCAUACGAUCUAUGGAUGAAAGCGGGGAUCGCAAGACCUCGCGCGAUUGGAGCGGCCGAUAUCAGAUUAGGUAGUUGGUGGGGUAAAGGCUCACCAAGCCUUCGAUCUGUAGCUGGUCUGAGAGGACGACCAGCCACACUGGGACUGAGACACGGCCCAG
rnacentral:rRNA from 1 species